UGGGCAACCUGCCCCAGACACAGGGAUAACCCCGGGGAAAACCGGGGCUAAUACCGGAUAUGACCUCGGAGGGCAUCUUCUGAGGUGGAAAUGUUCCGGCGGCUAGGGAUGGGCCCGCGGCCUAUCAGCUUGUUGGUGAGGUAACGGCCCACCAAGGCGACGACGGGUAGCCGGCCUGAGAGGGCGACCGGCCACACUGGGACUGAGACACGGCCCAGACUCCUACGGGAGGCA
rnacentral:rRNA from 1 species